GAUGAACGCUCGCGAUAGGCUUAACACAUGCAAGUCGAGGGGCAGCACAAGGUAGCUUGCUAUCUGGGUGGCGACCGGCGCACGGGUGCGUAACGCGUAUGCAACUUGCCCUAUACAGGAGGAUAACCCGUCGAAAGACGGACUAAUACUGCGUAUGCUCACAACUUGGCAUCAAGUGGUGAGGAAAGAAAUUCGGUAUAGGAUAGGCAUGCGUCCCAUUAGCUUGUUGGUGAGGUAACGGCUCACCAAGGCAACGAUGGGUAGGGGAACUGAGAGGUUUAUCCCCCACACUGGUACUGAGACACGGACCAGACUCCUACGGGAGGCAGCAGUGAGGAAUAUUGGUCAAUGGGCGCGAGCCUGAACCAGCCAAGUCGCGUGAAGGAUGACUGUCUUAUGGAUUGUAAACUUCUUUUAUACGGGAAUAACAAGAGUCACGGGUGACUCCCUGCAUGUACCGUAUGAAUAAGCAUCGGCUAACUCCGUG
rnacentral:rRNA from 1 species